GACCCCCUUCAAUACACAUUUCAUUUCCUCUCUGGCUCUUCCGUCCAAAACAAUUCUAAAAGGUGAAACAUGUCGUCCGACGGGAACGUCACCGGCGGCGGCGGCGCUAACACCGUCGGCGUAACCAAUAAGCCUUUCUUUUGCUACCAAUGCAACCGUACCGUUAACGUAACAAUAUCCCCUCCCUCUUCUGAUCCGACUUGUCCCAUUUGCAACGAGGGUUUCCUCGAAGAAUACGACAACCCAAACCCUAAUCAAGGUUCCGGUUUCCUAAACCCGAAUCCGAACUCAAUCCCGUUCCAUGACCCUUUCUUGACGUUAUCGGAUCCGUUCGCUUCCCUCCUUCCGCUCCUUUUUCCGUCCUCUUCAUCCACAACUACCUCACCCUCUGCUUCUAUUGACCCUAAUAACCCUAGCCUAUCUGGGCCGACCCGCUCAGGUCGAGGCGACCCGUUCGCUUUCGAUCCGUUUACCUUCAUCCAGAAUCAUCUCAACGAUCUGCGUUCAAGCGGGGCGCAGAUCGAGUUCGUGAUCCAGAACAAUCCGUCCGACCAGGGCUUUCGGCUUCCGGCGAACAUCGGGGAUUAUUUCAUCGGACCGGGCCUUGAGCAAUUGAUCCAGCAGCUGGCCGAAAACGACCCUAACCGGUAUGGGACCCCACCCGCAUCUAAAUCAGCCAUUGAAGCGCUACCUUCGGUGAAUAUAACGAAGAAUAACUUGAAUUCGGAGUUCAACCAGUGUGCAGUUUGCAUGGACGAUUUCGAGGAAGGAACUGAAGCCAAGCAGAUGCCCUGUAAGCAUCUUUAUCAUAAGGAUUGCUUAUUGCCGUGGCUGGAAUUGCAUAAUUCGUGCCCCGUGUGUCGUCACGAGCUGCCUACUGAUGAUCCUGAUUAUGAGAGGAGGGUUCGCGGGGCACAAGGGACCAGUGCAGGUAAUGACGGUGAUAAUAGUGGGCAGAGGUCUGAUGGGGAUAAUCGGACUGUCGAGAGGAGUUUUAGGAUAUCGCUGCCUUGGCCGUUUCAGGCUCGGGGACCUGGUCCUGCACCAGGUGAUAAUGCAGAGACCAGGCAAGAAGAUUUGGAUUGAGAAUUGGGUAGGGCUGUCCCCGGAUUGAACCUGGGAUGGGUGUCAAUUGAAGACUUGAGCGCAAGUUCUUCCCCACUCCAACUGUGGUUCAAUCAACCAAUCUGAAUAAAUUUUGAUGCUGUUGAAAUAGUGGUAUUAUAUUAUCUGGGAACUUAAAUUCAAUAUGCUCAGUUGAGUUGAUGAUAUGCUGAUAAUCCAUGUUUGCUUAAUAACCUUGGUGCAGCGGAACUGGGAUAAGGUUUAGGUUCAAUUUAUGCCUACUUGAAGAAGCUCAAAAUGUAACAACAAAGUGCCCACAUUUGUUUCAUUUGACAUGGUGCUAAAACAUCUACUCACAGAAUUUGGGUAUGAGAGUUGUGUGUAAACAUGGAGAAUUGAGAUUAGUGUUUUGCUAUUGGGUAUCAUAUGUACAUCUGAAAAUUUUACAGCUUUGUUUGUCAACGACAACCGCAUUUACUCUUUCAUACAUUGUUGUAUAGAUUCUUUGAUCCCUGCUUAAUUUUCUCCCCCCUUAUAUCUUCAAA